rnacentral:rRNA from 1 species
CCUACGGGUGGCAGCAGUGGGGAAUAUUGCACAAUGGGGGAAACCCUGACGCAGCGACGCCGCGUGAGUGAAGAAGUAUUUCGGUACGUAAAGCUCUAUCAGCAGGGAAGAAAAAAAGUCCUUUGGACUUUGGACGGUACCUGACCAAGAAGCCCCGGCUAACUACGUGCCAGCAGCCGCGGUAAUACGUAGGGGGCAAGCGUUAUCCGGAUUUACUGGGUGUAAAGGGAGCGUAGACGGCAGCGCAAGUCUGGAGUGAAAUGCCGGGGCGCAACCCAGGAGCUGCUUUGGAAACUGUGCAGCUGGAGGGCAGGAGAGGUAAGCGGAAUUCCUAGUGUAGCGGUGAAAUGCGUAGAUAUUAGGAGGAACACCAGUGGCGAAGGCGGCUUACUGGACUGUAACUGACGUUGAGGCUCGAAAGCGUGGGGAGCAAACAGGAUUAGAUACCCCAGUAGUC